rnacentral:rRNA from 1 species
UAGGGGGCAAGCGUUAUCCGGAUUUACUGGGUGUAAAGGGUGCGUAGACGGUCCGACAAGUCAGAUGUGAAAGCCCGGGGCCCAACCCCGGGACUGCAUUUGAAACUGCCGGACUAGAGUGCCGGAGAGGUAAGUGGAAUUCCUAGUGUAGCGGUGAAAUGCGUAGAUAUUAGGAGGAACACCAGUGGCGAAGGCGGCUUACUGGACGGUAACUGACGUUGAUGCACGAAAGCGUGGGGAGCAAA